UACGGAGGGGGCUAGCGUUGUUCGGAAUUACUGGGCGUAAAGGGCGCGUAGGCGGGUUUGUAAGUCGAUUGUGAAAUCCCUGGGCUUAACCCGGGAACUGCAGUCGAAACUGCAAAUCUUGAAUACCUGAGAGGAUGGCGGAAUUCCCGGUGUAGUAGUGAAAUACGUAGAUAUCGGGAAGAACACCUGAGGCGAAGGCGGCUAUCUGGCAGUGUAUUGACGCUGAGGCGCGAAAGCGUGGGGAGCAAACAGG
rnacentral:rRNA from 1 species